CCUACGGGAGGCAGCAGUGAGGAAUCUUCGUCAAUGGACGAGAGUCUGAACCAGCCAAGUAGCGUGAAGGAUGACUGCCCUCUGGGUGGUAAACUUCUUUUAUAAAGGAAUAAAACGAGGAACGUUUACCUUUUUUAUUGUACUUUAUGAAUAAGGAUCGGCUAACUACGUGCCAGCAGCCGCGGUAAUAAGGAGGUUCCGAUGGUUAUCCGGAUUUAUUGGGUUUAAAUGGAGCGUAGAUGGUUUGUUAAGUCCGGUGUGAAAGUUUGCGGCUCAACAGUAAAAUUGCAAUUGAUACUGGCAGUCUUGAGUACAGUUGAGGUAGGCGGAAUUCGUGGUGUAGCGGUGAAAUGCGUAGAUAUCACGAAGAACCCCGAGUGCGAAGGCAGCUUACUAAACUGUGACUGACAUUGAUGCUCGAAAGUGUGGGUAUCAAACAGGAUUAGAUACCCGGGUAGUC
rnacentral:rRNA from 1 species